UUUCCGUAGGUGAACCUGCGGAAGGAUCAUUGACAAUAAGUGUUUUGUGUCACUUUUUACACAAUCCAUAUUCACCUUGUAUGCAACGAUAUGAGUCCCUCUAUCGUUAUCUUUUAGUUUACUGAAGAGGAAACCUCUACAACUUGCCAACAUCACCUUUAACUUAUUUGUUUGAACAUUUGUUAUCACGAAUGAGCGUUAUUCGAUAAUACAACUUUCAACAACGGAUCUCUUGGCUCUC
rnacentral:misc_RNA from 1 species